GAUGAAGAACGUAGCGAAAUGCGAUAAGUAAUGUGAAUUGCAGAAUUCAGUGAAUCAUCGAAUCUUUGAACGCACCUUGCGCUCCUUGGUAUUCCGAGGAGCAUGCCUGUUUGAGUGUCAUUAAUAUAUCAACCUUCUCUUUUUUGAGUUGUUUGGAUGUGGGGGUUUGCUGGCCUCUUAAAUGAUUCAGCUCCCCUGAAACGCAUUAGCAGAACAACCUGUUCAUUGGCGUGAUAAUUAUCUAUGCUAUUGAAUGUGAGGGCAGUUCAGCUUUCUAACCGUCCUUGGACAAUUCAUCAUUAAUGUGACCUCAAAUCAGGUAGGACUACCCGCUGAACUUAAGCAUAUCAAUAAGCGGAGGA
rnacentral:misc_RNA from 1 species